rnacentral:rRNA from 1 species
GAUGAACGCUGGCGGCGUGCCUAAUACAUGCAAGUCGAGCGAACGGACGAGAAGCUUGCUUUUCUGAUGUUAGCGGCGGACGGGUGAGUAACACGUGGAUAACCUACCAAUAAGACUGGGAUAACUUCGGGAAACCGGAGCUAAUACCGGAUAAUAUUUUGAACCGCAUGGUUCAAAAGUGAAAGACGGUCUUGCUGUCACUUAUAGAUGGAUCCGCGCUGCAUUAGCUAGUUGGUAAGGUAACGGCUUACCAAGGCAACGAUGCAUAGCCGACCUGAGAGGAUGAUCGGCCACACUGGAACUGAGACACGGUCCAGACUCCUACGGGAGGCAGCAGUAGGGAAUCUUCCGCAAUGGGCGAAAGCCUGACGGAGCAACGCCGCGUGAGUGAUGAAGGUCUUCGGAUCGUAAAACUCUGUUAUUAGGGAAGAACAUAUGUGUAAGUAACUGUGCACAUCUUGACGGUACCUAAUCAGAAAGCCACGGCUAACUACGUG